UACGGGGGGGGGCAAGCGUUGUUCGGAAUUACUGGGCGUAAAGGGCCAGUAGGCGGCCAACUAAGUCGGAUGUGAAAUCCCCAGGCUCAACUUGGGAACUGCAUCCGAUACUGGAUGGCUUGAAUUCGGGAGAGGGAUGCAGAAUUCCAGGUGUAGCGGUGAAAUGCGUAGAUAUCUGGAGGAAUACCGGUGGCGAAGGCGGCAUCCUGGACCGACAUUGACGCUGAGCGGCGAAAGCUAGGGGAGCAAACGGG
rnacentral:rRNA from 1 species